UACGGGGGGGGCAAGCGUUGUUCGGAAUUACUGGGCGUAAAGGGCUCGUAGGCGGCCAACUAAGUCAUACGUGAAAUCCCUCGGCUUAACCGGGGAACUGCGUCUGAUACUGGAUGGCUUGAGUUCGGGAGAGGGAUGCGGAAUUCCAGGUGUAGCGGUGAAAUGCGUAGAUAUCUGGAGGAACACCUGUGGCGAAAGCGGCUCACUGGACCAUAACUGACGCUGAGGCGCGAAAGCUAGGGGAGCAAACAGG
rnacentral:rRNA from 1 species